GGCAGACGGGUGAGUAACAUGUAGGUAUCUACCCUUUGGCCUGGAAUAACACGAGGAAACUUGUGCUAAUACCGGAUAAGUCUUUACGGAGAAAGCUUUAUGCACCAUUGGAUGAGCCUGCACUUGAUUAGUUUGUUGGUGGGGUAAUGGCCUACCAAGACUGUGAUCAAUAGCUGAUUUGAGAGGAUGAUCAGCCACAUUGGGACUGAGACACGGCCCAAACUCCUACGGGAGGCAGCAGUGGGGAAUCUUGCACAAUGGAGGAAACUCUGAUGCAGCGAUGCCGCGUGAGUGAAGAAGGCCUUUGGGUUGUAAAGCUCUUUCGUCGGGGAAGAAAAUGACUGUACCCGAAUAAGAAGGUCCGGCUAACUUCGUGCCAGCAGCCGCGGUAAUACGAAGGGACCUAGCGUAGUUCGGAAUUACUGGGCUUAAAGAGUUCGUAGGUGGUUGAAAAAGUUGGUGGUGAAAUCCCAGAGCUUAACUCUGGAACUGCCAUCAAAACUUUUCAGCUAGAGUAUGAUAGAGGAAAGCAGAAUUUCUAGUGUAGAGGUGAAAUUCGUAGAUAUUAGAAAGAAUACCAAUUGCGAAGGCAGCUUUCUGGAUCAUUACUGACACUGAGGAACGAAAGCAUGGGUAGCGAAGAGGAUUAGAUACCCUCGUAGUCCAUGCCGUAAACGAUGUGUGUUAGACGUUGGAAAUUUAUUUUCAGUGUCGCAGCGAAAGCGAUAAACACACCGCCUGGGGAGUACGACCGCAAGGUUAAAACUCAAAUGAAUUGACGGGGACCCGCACAAGUAGUGGAGCAUGUGGUUUAAUUCGAAGAUACGCGCAGAACCUUACCAACACUUGACAUGUUCGUCGCGACUUUAAGAGAUUAGAGUUUUCGGUUCGGCCGGACGAAACACAGGUGCUGCAUGGCUGUCGUCAGCUCGUGUCGUGAGAUGUUGGGUUAAGUCCCGCAACGAGCGCAACCCUCACUUUUAGUUGCCAUCAUUAAGUUGGGCACUCUGAAAGAACUGCCAGUGAUAAGCUGGAGGAAGGUGGGGAUGACGUCAAGUCCUCAUGGCCCUUACGUGUUGGGCUACACACGUGCUACAAUGGUAUCUACAACAGGAAGCAAGACUGCAAGGUCAAGCAAAUCCUUAAAAGAUACCUCAGUUCGGAUUGCACUCUGCAACUCGAGUGCAUGAAGCUGGAAUUACUAGUAAUCGUGGAUCAGCGUGCCACGGUGAAUGCGUUCCCGGGUCUUGUACACACCGCCCGUCACACCAUGGGAGUUGGUUCUACCUUAA
rnacentral:rRNA from 1 species